rnacentral:rRNA from 1 species
UGGGGAAUAUUGGACAAUGGGCGCAAGCCUGAUCCAGCCAUGCCGCGUGUGUGAAGAAGGCCUUUUGGUUGUAAAGCACUUUAAGCGAGGAGGAGGCUACUUGGAUUAAUACUCUAGGAUAGUGGACGUUACUCGCAGAAUAAGCACCGGCUAACUCUGUGCCAGCAGCCGCGGUAAUACAGAGGGUGCGAGCGUUAAUCGGAUUUACUGGGCGUAAAGCGUGCGUGGGCGGCUUCUUAAGUCGGAUGUGAAAUCCCUGAGCUUAACUUAGGAAUUGCAUUCGAUACUGGGAAGCUAGAGUAUGGGAGAGGAUGGUAGAAUUCCAGGUGUAGCGGUGAAAUGCGUAGAGAUCUGGAGGAAUACCGAUGGCGAAGGCAGCCAUCUGGCCUAAUACUGACGCUGAGGUACGAAAGCAUGGGGAGCAAACAGGA